CGCAAGCCUGACGGAGCAACGCCGCGUGAGGGACGAAGGCCUCUGGGCUGUAAACCUCUUUUCUCAAGGAAGAAGACAUGACGGUACUUGAGGAAUAAGCCACGGCUAAUUCCGUGCCAGCAGCCGCGGUAAUACGGGAGUGGCAAGCGUUAUCCGGAAUUAUUGGGCGUAAAGCGUCCGCAGGCGGCCUUGAAAGUCUGUUGUUAAAGCGUGGAGCUCAACUCCAUUUCAGCAAUGGAAACUACAAGGCUAGAGUGUGGUAGGGGCAGAGGGAAUUCCCGGUGUAGCGGUGAAAUGCGUAGAUAUCGGGAAGAACACCAGUGGCGAAGGCGCUCUGCUGGGCCAUAACUGACGCUCAUGGACGAAAGCCAGGGGAGCGAAAGGGAUUAGAUACCCCUGUAGUCCUGGCCGUAAACGAUGAACACUAGGUGUCGGGAGAAUUAACCCUUUCGGUGUCGUAGCCAACGCGUUAAGUGUUCCGCCUGGGGAGUACGCACGCAAGUGUGAAACUCAAAGGAAUUGACGGGGGCCCGCACAAGCGGUGGAGUAUGUGGUUUAAUUCGAUGCAACGCGAAGAACCUUACCAGGGUUUGACAUCCUGCGAAUCCUUUGGAAACUUAGGAGUGCCUUCGGGAGCGCAGUGACAGG
rnacentral:rRNA from 1 species